UACGUAGGGGGCAAGCGUUGUUCGGAUUUACUGGGCGUAAAGCGCGCGUAGGCGGCGCGGUAAGUCACUUGUGAAAUCUCUGAGCUUAACUCAGAACGGCCAAGUGAUACUGCAGUGCUAGAGUGCAGAAGGGGCAAUCGGAAUUCUUGGUGUAGCGGUGAAAUGCGUAGAUAUCAAGAGGAACACCUGAGGUCAAGACGGGUGGCUGGGCUGACACUGACGCUGAGGCGCGAAAGCCAGGGGAGCAAACGGG
rnacentral:rRNA from 1 species